AAAAUAAAUAGGCAAAGCUGCCGAAAGGCAGUGACGCAAAGCUAAAGGGGCUAUAUCGUAUAGGGAGUAUGAUCGUGCCAGCCAGCUGCCUCA
rfam:Anaerostipes sp. CAG:276 genomic scaffold, scf73